GUCCACAUAGCUCAGCUGGAUAGAGCGCCACCCUCCUAAGGUGGAAGUCGGGAGUUCGAAUCUCUUUGUGGACGCCA
rnacentral:tRNA from 1 species